CACGUAGGGUGCGAGCGUUGUCCGGAAUUAUUGGGCGUAAAGAGCUCGUAGGCGGUGUGUCGCGUCGGCCGUGAAAACCUGCAGCUUAACUGUGGGCUUGCGGUCGAUACGGGCAUCACUGGAGUUCGGCAGGGGAGACUGGAAUUCCUGGUGUAGCGGUGAAAUGCGCAGAUAUCAGGAGGAACACCGGUGGCGAAGGCGGGUCUCUGGGCCGAUACUGACG
rnacentral:rRNA from 1 species